rnacentral:rRNA from 1 species
AACGUGAAGAAGCCUUACCAGGCCUUGACAUGCAGAGAACUUUCCAGAGAUGGAUUGGUGCCUUCGGGAACUCUGACACAGGUGCUGCAUGGCUGUUGUCAGCUCGUGUCGUGAGAUGUUGGGUUAAGUCCCGUAACGAGCGCAACCCUUGUCCUUAGUUACCAGCACGUUAUGGUGGGCACUCUAAGGAGACUGCCGGUGACAAACCGGAGGAAGGUGGGGAUGACGUCAAGUCAUCAUGGCCCUUACGGCUUAGGCUACACACGUGUUCCAAUGGUCGGUACAGAGGGUUGCCAAGCCGCGAGGGGGAGUUAAUCUCACAAACACGAUGGUAGUCCGGAUCGCAGUCUCCAAGUCGUCGGCGGGAAGUCGGAAGCGUUAGUAAUCGUGAAUGAGAA